rnacentral:rRNA from 1 species
AGCGUUGUCCGGAUUUAUUGGGUUUAAAGGGUGCGUAGGCGGCCGUCUAAGUCAGUUGUGAAAUACCCCGGCUCAACCGGGGGGGUGCGAUUGAUACUGGGCGGCUCGAGUAACAGCGAGGUUGGCGGAAUUGACGGUGUAGCGGUGAAAUGCAUAGAUAUCGUCAAGAACACCGAUAGCGAAGGCGGCCAACUAGAGGUUAACUGACGCUGAGGCACGAAAGUGCGGGGAUCAAACAGG